rnacentral:tRNA from 2 species
CCCCUCGUCGUUCAACGGAUAGGACGGUAGCUUGCGGAGCUACAAAUAGAGGUUCGAUUCCUCUCGAGGGGACAA